rnacentral:rRNA from 1 species
AUCGAACGCUGGCGGCAUGCGUUACACAUGCAAGGCGAACGGUAGAGGGGCAACCCUUGAGAGUGGCGAAGGGGUGCGUAAUAUAUCGGAACGUGCCCAGUCGUGGGGGAUAACGCAGAGAAAGCUGCGCUAAUACCGCCUACGACCUAUGGAUGAAAGCGGGCGAUCGCAAGACCGCGCGCGCUUGGACCGACCGAUAUAAGAUUAGGUAGUCUGUGGGGUAAAAGCCCACCAAGCCGACGAUCUGUAGCUGGUCUGAUAGGCCGACCAGCCACACUGGGACUGAGACACGGCCCAGACUCCUACGGGAGGCAGCAGUGGUGAAUUUUGGACAAUGGGCGCAAGCCUGAUCCAGCAAUGCCGCGUGCAGGACGAAGGCCUUCGGGUUGUAAACUGCUCUUGUACGGAGCGAAACGGUCUGGGUUAAUACCCUGGGCUAAUGACGGUACCGUAAGAAUAAGCACCGGCUAACUACGUGCCAGCCGCCGCGGUAACAC